rnacentral:rRNA from 1 species
AGUGAACGCUGGCGGUAGGCCUAACACAUGCAAGUCGAACGGCAGCACAGUAAGCGCUCGCUCUUAUGGGUGGCGAGUGGCGGACGGGUGAGGAAUACAUCGGAAUCUACUUUUUCGUGGGGGAUAACGUAGGGAAACUUACGCUAACACAGCAUACGACCUACGGGUGAAAGCAGGGGAUAUUGGGACCUUGCGCGAACGCAUGAGUCGAUGUCGGUUUAGCUAGUUGGCGGGGUAAAGGACCACCAAGGAGACGAUCCGUAGCUGGUCUGAGAGGAUGAUCAGCCACAUGGGACCGGAGCCACGGUCCAGACUCCUACGGGAGGCAGCAGAGGGGAAUAUUGGACAAGGGGGGCAAGCCUGAUCCAGCCAUACCGCGUGGUUGAGGAGGGCCUUCGGUUUGUAAAGCCCGUUUGUUGGGAAGGAAGAGCAGCAGAUUGAUACCCCGCUGUUCUGACGGUACCCAAAGAGAAAGCACCGGCUAACUUCGUG